rnacentral:rRNA from 1 species
GACGAACGCUGGCGGCGUGCUUAACACAUGCAAGUCGAGCGGAAAGGCUCCUUCGGGGGUACUCGAGCGGCGAACGGGUGAGUAACACGUGAGUAAUCUGCCCUGUGCUCUGGGAUAGCCACCGGAAACGGUGAUUAAUACCGGAUAUGACCAGCUACUGCAUGGUGGUUGCUGGAAAGUUUUUCGGCACAGGAUGUGCUCGCGGCCUAUCAGCUUGUUGGUGAGGUAAUGGCUCACCAAGGCUUUGACGGGUAGCCGGCCUGAGAGGGUGACCGGUCACACUGGGACUGAGACACGGCCCAGACUCCUACGGGAGGCAGCAGUGGGGAAUAUUGGACAAUGGGCGGAAGCCUGAUCCAGCAACGCCGCGUGAGGGAUGACGGCCCUCGGGUUGUAAACCUCUUUCAGUCCCGACGAAGCGAAAGUGACGGUAGGUACAGAAGAAGGACCGGCCAACUACGUGCCAGCCGCCGCCGUAACAC